CGUUUACGUCAUUGAGGUACUUUGUUCUUGUUUCAAAGUAUUUGCUUGCACAAAUAGCCUUUCAGGAUGGUUCUUAGAUUUGAGAAUGUAGGGGAUAAUGUUUAAAUGACUUGGUGGCGGCGUUGACCCCCCAAUUCCUCAGAAUUGACAGAUUGGGGGGACGUAAGAGCACGGGUGCCGUCACGGAUGGUCUCAGCCUCGAGAACGAAUUUACGAGCCUUGUUAAAUGUGGACGGGUUGCGCUCCAUAAGUUUGGCCUUGUCCAAGUUAUUGCGCAUUCCCUGGAAUAAGAGCGCUUUUAGAAGGCGAUCUUCCGUGAUUUGAGAGAUCCCUCAUGUCAAGAUGAACGUUACGGAGACUUCGUAAAUGACCCUCAAUGAUGUUGAGAAUUUCGACCACUGUACGGCCGGUAUCCGAACGUAUUCCAAGGGAAUGACGUACAAUGCAUAGGAAACCAGGGCUACAGCACUCCCAUAGAAGUCCAACUUGGAUUGCCCUCUCCCGCUGAUCUAGAAGUGGAGGCUUCUUGGCCUCAAGCCUGGGAAAAACGGAGUGGGCCUGUCUAGAAUCAGGGGAUGGAACGGAUGAUGCAUCUGAGACUGCCUGCCUGAGAACAGUAGCAUCGGCUUCUCUACGAUAUCCAAUAAUUAGAGUCUUGACCUUAAAAAUGGCCUCUACAUGCUCGUCAACGGCUUGAUCUGCGUCCUUUGGAUCGGAAGCGAGUUUAAAUAUCACCUGAUCUUCCGUGGCAAGGUACUUCUGUAGUCGGUCAUCCCAGUGUCCAAGAAGAUUUUCAAAAAAGGUUGGA